UCCCGGGCGGGGCGGCCCUCGGGCCGUCCCUGCUCGCCGAGGCCGCCGCGGUGGCUGCGGCCGCCGGUCACCCGGUGCCCGAGGCC
rnacentral:tRNA from 1 species